rnacentral:piRNA from 1 species
UCCAUAGGGUGUUGCUGCUGACCCACUGA